rnacentral:lncRNA from 10 species
GCCGCCGCACCUCCGGGCCGCUCCACUAGGUGCUGCUGCCGCGGCCGCCAGGGAGGGAGGUGUCGGAGGGCGGGCCCCGCGCGGUGCUAGGGUUCCGUCUGGACUGGCGGUGGUGGGUCCCAACCGGCGGUACCGGGUUCCUUCCCGACCAGCGGUGCUAGGUUCGGUUCGGACGCGCGCUGCUGGAUCUAAAUGGGCAGUGCUGGGUCCGAUGGGUGGUGCUGUGUUGGGUCCGGACGCGCGGUGCAGAGUCCGGACGGGCGGUGCUGGAUCCAAAUGGGCGGUGCUGGAUCUGGACGGGCGGUGAUGGGUCCGAUGGGCGGUGCUAUGUUCGGUUCGGACGGGCGGUGCUAGGUCUAAAUGGGCGCUGCUGGGUCCGAUGGGCGGUGCUGCGUUCGGUCCGGACGGGCGGGGACGGGCGGUGCUGGGUCCAAAUGGGUGGUGAUGGAUCUGUGGACGGGCGGUGCUGGUUCCAGACGGGCGGUGCUGGGUCCAGACGGGCGGUGGGUCCGAUGGGCGGUGCUAGGUUCGGUUCGGAUGGGUGGUGCUAGGUCUAAAUGGGCGGCGCCGGAUCCGAUGGGCGGUGCUGGGUUCGGUCCGGACUGGCGGGUCCGGGUCUGGACGGGCGGUGCUGGAUCCAAAUGGGGGUGCAGUGCUGGAUCUGGACGGGCGGUGCUGGGUCCGAACGGGCGAUGGGUCCCAUGGGCGGUGCUAGGUUCGGUUCGGACUGGCGGUGCUGGGUCUAAAUGGGCGGCGCUGGGUCCGAUGGGUGGUACUGGGUCCGGACGGGCGGUUCUGGGUCUGGACGGGCGGUGCAGUAUCCAAAUGGGCGCUGCUGGGUCCGGACGGGCGGUGCUAGGUUCGGUCCGGACGGGUGGUGCUGGGUCUAAAUGGGCGGUGCUAGGCUCAGCAGGGGACCGGUGGGCGUGGCGGCACAGGUACGGAGCGCAGGGCCGGUGGAGCGCCCUCUCCGAAGGGCCCUGCGCUCCCCGCGCUCGCUGCUCCUCCUGCCCGCGCAUUGCCCCGGGGCUGCUGCGUGUUUCUUCCAGGGUGAUUCCUUUCCGCUGGGUCACUUCAAAGCCGACCUUUUCAAGCUGUUUUCUUCCGCGGAGGACACGUUGUUAGGCUUUGUGUGCAUUUCAAGGGUCAUGUUUUCUGAACCGCGCUCUGCCGCUCUUGGGGUGUUCGAGCCCCCACACUGCUGUGCGGUGUUCCUCUCACAGAGUGAGGUUGGAGGGUCCCACUCCCUUUGUGUGUCUCCUUAGAAAACGCCUCUUCUCUCAGACACAUCGUUAUCUGCCAAUUCUUCGCAGACGUAGAGAACGGACUGCAGAGUUAAUAAACGUCGAGGGGAAGCUUUGAUGCGCCCCAUUUGGCCCUGAGAGAUGCCACGUGAUCGUCAUUUUAAAUCCUGUACGUGUCCCCGUGGACGUGGAAACCUGAAAUUAAUUUCAGUAGCAAGCUUUGUGAAUUGUAGGGAUUUUUUUUCAUAAGGUGUCUUUUUUGUAAUUGCCCCUCCCCUCCCCCACCCUUUGUUUUGGCUGCAGAGCGCCAUCUCUGCAGUCUCCCCACGCCGGGUUCAGUCAGGCGAAGUUGCGUUAUCUGUGAUGUGUUGUAACAAAAAGCGUUUAUCUUUGAAACACUAAGGCAAGUAAUGAGAAGAGUGAACUAUAUUUGACAAAGCCUUUUUAUUUUUGUCAUUACUUUUUUUUCCAAUGUGGAAAUAAUUUUUCUCUCCACCAACUGGAUUUCCUCUUUUGCAGACAAUUAAAGAAUUCUGUCAUCCCCA